GACGAACGCUGGCGGCGUGCUUAACACAUGCAAGUCGAACGGGAAGGCCCUGCUUUUGUGGGGUGCUCGAGUGGCGAACGGGUGAGUAACACGUGAGUAACCUGCCCUUGACUUUGGGAUAACUUCAGGAAACUGGGGCUAAUACCGGAUAGGAGCUCCUGCUGCAUGGUGGGGUUGGGAAAGUUUCGGCGGUUGGGGAUGGACUGGCGGCUUAUCAGCUUGUUGGUGGGGUAGUGGCUUACCAAGGCUUUGACGGGUAGCCGGCCUGAGAGGGUGACCGGCCACAUUGGGACUGAGAUACGGCCCAGACUCCUACGGGAGGCAGCAGUGGGGAAUAUUGCACAAUGGGCGGAAGCCUGAUGCAGCAACGCCGCGUGCGGGAUGACGGCCUUCGGGUUGUAAACCGCUUUCGCCUGUGACGAAGCGUGAGUGACGGUAAUGGGUAAAGAAGCACCGGCUAACUACGUG
rnacentral:rRNA from 1 species